ACCGUGCCCAGCCCAGAUAUUUUUGAUCCAUGGCUGGUUGAAUCUUCAGAUGGGAGGACCAACUGUAUGUAUAUAUAGUAUAAGUAUUUGCUUGUGUUUCUGAAAGGAGACAGUAGAGUUCAGUACAGAGCUGGAAACUAGCGCCCCAUGGUUCCUGUGAAAUGUCUGUGUACAGGAACAUACAGAAUCAGAUGAUCGCUUCUGUGUUUGCUAUGAUAAGGGUUACACAGAGGCCAUCAGGUAGGAGACGACACAGAGAGCACAGGUUGGAGCACAGGUGGGUCGCUAGGCAUAUCCAGGGUCCUGGGCUGAUACAGUAUCUAAAACAGAAAACAUCCAGUGCUUACGGGGUACUGGCUCUUUCCUCAGACUCCACAUUUGAGAUGCAGAGGAACUAAAACUCCAUCUUUGUGUAUGUAGCAAGUUUUCCCCUUUCAGCUUUGAAAAUGAAAGUUUGUUUUAGGUCAGGUUCAGCCUGGGGAAAUGAGAAAAUCACCCACUGGGAUGAGCCCUUCCCCCUUCAACACUGUAAAUAGCUUUUUCCACUUGGCGCGGUCUCCUCGCCACGGUAAUAAGGAGCUCUUGCUGGCUGCUCCGACCCGUGCGACAGCCAGGCCUUCAGGAGGUCUGGUGUCCCUGCACUUUGUGGUCUCUGAGCAGUCCAGCUCUGCCUGCCAUCAGUUUGGGCACUUGACAUUUCAGGAAAUCCUGAGCCCAGAUUGCAGGCCCUCUUUUUCCGUGAUGAUACCCACUACAUUGAAAUGAUGGAUCUGUGAUAGCAACAGGAGCGAUGAUAUACAUCUUUGUAUAUCCCUGCCCUCCCCAGACCCCAAGUCCUAUAUAAAAACUUCACUUCCUGGGCUUCCUUUACCCCACCCCAAUAUUUGCCAUGUUUUCUUGUGUUUCAUGAUUUUUCUGUCAGCUCCUCUGAAAUGUGAGGUCCUUCAAAGCAGGACUAUGUUUUUUUUCGUGGUAUCCCUUGCCCCUCGCAAAAUGCCUAGGACAUAAUAGGUGUUCUAUAAAUGUUUGUUGAAUGAAUACAGAAAAACCAGAGCGCCACUAUGGGUAGGUGAGUGGGAUGGGGAAGGCCCUGAAAUCCAGAGCACAGGGGGACCUGGGCAUGUGUGUGUAUGUGAGGGCUGAGUAGGGAGAUUGUUGUGGACAGAAUAAUGGUCCGUAGAAUAAAGGUCCACAUUCUGAUCCCUGGAACCUGAGAACACGUUAUGUUAAAUGCCAGAGGGAAUUCUGGUUGCAGAUGGAAUGAAGGUUGCUCAUCCCGAUUGUAAGGUCGAGAGAUUACUAUGGAUUACCCAGGUGGGUCAGGGUAAUCACAGGGUUCUUACAAGUGGGAAGCAGGAGAGUCGGAGAAGAUGUGAUGACAGAAGCACAGGCUGGAGUGAAGUGGCCUCGAGCCACAGAAGGCAGGUGGCCUCUAGACGAUAGAAAGGUCAAGGAACAGAUUCUUUCCAGAGCCUCCAGAAGGAAAGCAUCUGUGCUAGCACCUUGAUGUUAGCCCUUUGAGGCCCAAUUUCAGACUUCUUUUUUUUUUUUUUGGAGACAGGGUCUUGCUCUAGUUGCCCAGGCUGGAGUGUGGUGGGGCAAUCUUGGCUCACUACAACCUCCACCUCCUAAUUUCAAGGGAUUCUCCUGCCUCAGCCUCCCGAGUAGCUGGGAUUAUAGGUGCCCACCACCAUGUCUGGCUAAUUUUUAUAUUUUUUGUAGAGACAGGGUUUUGCCAUGUUGGCCAGGCUGGUCUUGAACUCCUGACCUCAGGUGAUCCACCCGCUGCAGCCUCCCAAAGUGCUGGGAUUACAGGUGUAAGCCACUGUGCCUCUUCGCAUUUCAGACUUUUGACCUUAAAAACAACUUGUGUUGUUUUUAAGACACUAAGUUUGUGGUAGUUUCUUACAGCAGCUAUUGGAAACUAAUACAGAGGCUAAGCCUAGGGGAAUGGGGGGAAUCCUCAGGAAGGAACCAAAUAGAACACAUAACCCUGGAAAAGGCAAUGGCUGUGUCGGAGAAGCUCAGUCAGCAUCCAAAAAUACCUUUCCUGCUGAAUCACCCUAGAUCAAAAGUCAUUGACAGUAAGAUCACCACUGGUACGCAGCUCAAUGUGUGUUGCCUUUAGUGUCCCCAAAUAGUGUGAAUACCUCUAAUAAUUUGAGAGAAGCCAUAGUAGAAUAUAGUGUAAAAGAGUCAGUCAAACCUGGGUUUGAGUUUCUUUCUGCCACCUAUUGACUGUAGUAGCUUACAAAUGAUGUAACCUCUCGAAGCCACAGUUUACUUAUCUGUAAACUGAAGAUAAAUCUGUUUCUUAACUAGAAAGAUGGUGGUGAGGACUAAAUAACACAUAUAAUGUAUUUAACAUAAUGCCUGCCAUAUAGGAAACAUUGGAUAAGCAUUAUCUAUUACUAAAAACAUACAUACUAGGAACUUUUAUAACAAGGUUGUUUGAGUUAUCUCUAUACUCCACACUGACUCAAUCAUAUCUAGAGUCUGUAGUGAGUUGUGGGAACAAAGAGAGCAACUGGCAUGGUCAAAAGGAUGUCUAGGUUGGCAGUGGUGGCACACCUGGCCCCCUUGCAUUUUCAUAGGACUUUUACUGUUCAAAACACUUUCCCAUCUAUUAUCUCAAACUAUCAGAUGAGGUUAAUAUGUAUGUGUGUGUGUACUGGCUGGGUGUGGCGGCUCAAGCCUGUAAUCCCAGCAUUUUGGGAGGCUGAGGCAGGAGGAUUGCUUGAGGCCAGGAGUUUGAGACCAACCUAGGCAGCAUAGCGAGAUCCUGUCUCUACACAAACACACACAAACACACACACACACACACACACACAAGACUGGGUGCGGUGGCUCACGCCUGUAAUCCCAGCACUUUGGGAGGCCAAGGUGGGCAGAUCACUUGAGGCCAGGAGUUUGAGAUCAGCGUGGCCAACAUGGCAAAACCCGUCUCUACUAAAAGUACAA
rnacentral:lncRNA from 1 species